ACCUUCGGGCCUCUUGCCAUCGGAUGUGCCCAGAUGGGAUUAGCUUGUUGGUGGGGUAACGGCUCACCAAGGCGACGAUCCCUAGCUGGUCUGAGAGGAUGACCAGCCACACUGGAACUGAGACACGGUCCAGACUCCUACGGGAGGCAGCAGUGGGGAAUAUUGCACAAUGGGCGCAAGCCUGAUGCAGCCAUGCCGCGUGUAUGAAGAAGGCCUUCGGGUUGUAAAGUACUUUCAGCGGGGAGGAAGGGAGUAAAGUUAAUACCUUUGCUCAUUGACGUUACCCGCAGAAGAAGCACCGGCUAACUCCGUGCCAGCAGCCGCGGUAAUACGGAGGGUGCAAGCGUUAAUCGGAAUUACUGGGCGUAAAGCGCACGCAGGCGGUUUGUUAAGUCAGAUGUGAAAUCCCCGGGCUCAACCUGGGAACUGCAUCUGAUACUGGCAAGCUUGAGUCUCGUAGAGGGGGGUAGAAUUCCAGGUGUAGCGGUGAAAUGCGUAGAGAUCUGGAGGAAUACCGGUGGCGAAGGCGGCCCCCUGGACGAAGACUGACGCUCAGGUGCGAAAGCGUGGGGAGCAAACAGGAUUAGAUACCCUGGUAGUCCACGCCGUAAACGAUGUCGACUUGGAGGUUGUGCCCUUGAGGCGUGGCUUCCGGAGCUAACGCGUUAAGUCGACCGCCUGGGGAGUACGGCCGCAAGGUUAAAACUCAAAUGAAUUGACGGGGGCCCGCACAAGCGGUGGAGCAUGUGGUUUAAUUCGAUGCAACGCGAAGAACCUUACCUGGUCUUGACAUCCACGGAAGUUUUCAGAGAUGAGAAUGUGCCUUCGGGAACCGUGAGACAGGUGCUGCAUGGCUGUCGUCAGCUCGUGUUGUGAAAUGUUGGGUUAAGUCCCGCAACGAGCGCAACCCUUAUCCUUUGUUGCCAGCGGUCCGGCCGGGAACUCAAAGGAGACUGCCAGUGAUAAACUGGAGGAAGGUGGGGAUGACGUCAAGUCAUCAUGGCCCUUACGACCAGGGCUACACACGUGCUACAAUGGCGCAUACAAAGAGAAGCGACCUCGCGAGAGCAAGCGGACCUCAUAAAGUGCGUCGUAGUCCGGAUUGGAGUCUGCAACUCGACUCCAUGAAGUCGGAAUCGCUAGUAAUCGUGGAUCAGAAUGCCACGGUGAAUACGUUCCCGGGCCUUGUACACACCGCCCGUCACACCAUGGGAGUGGGUUGCAAAAGAAGUAGGUAGCUUAACCUUCGGGAGGGCGCUUACCACUUUGUGAUUCAUGACUGGGGUGAAGUCGUAACAAGGUAACCGUAGGGGAACCUGCGGUUGGAUCACCUCCUUACCUUAAAGAAGC
rnacentral:rRNA from 1 species